UGUACCACUGAAUCUGUAAUGUGCCUGUACCACUGAAUCUGUAAUGUGUCUGUACCACUGUAUCUGUAAUGUGCCUGUACCACUGUAUCUGCAAUGUGCCUGUACCACUGUAUCUCCUACGACAGUAGCUGUACAUUGGCUUGUUCUGUGAUUCCCCUCCAGGAUGAUGAGACAGGCCAUGUUCUUCCUUUUGCUGGCUCUUCUUGGAACAUCUACUGGUGCCAUUGUUCCAAGUCAGAACAGUCUUUUUAUCGUUCUGUGAAGUGGAGGUUUAUGGGUACCUCGCCCCAACUGGAAAUAAUGCAGCUUUACAGGGAAAACCCACCCAGUCAUCAUUGUGUGGGUUUGGUUUUGCUUACAAUGCCAUUGAUGGGAAUCACAACGGUAUUUGGGAAGAUGGUUCCUCCUCCUGCACCAACACCAAAGUGAAAGUUAACCCUUGAUGGCAGUUGGACCUUCUGUGGACUCAUAAAGUGUUCUCCAUCACCAUCCCCAACCGAAUAGACGGGACUUUCAGUAGACUGAAUGGUUCUGAGUUCCGCAUUGGUGACUCCCUGACAAAACAAGAACAAUGGCAACAGCAAUCCCAGGUGAACUGUGGGAGUUAAAGUCAAUGCUAUAUUUGACAAAAGGUUGGUUAGCACAACUGUGUACAGACUGUAGAGAUAGUUAGAGGACACAACAUUCUAUCUGUCCCAUUAUGGCGUCUCUGAGAGCAUGAGCAGUGCCAUUGAGGCCAUCUCUAUUUUGAAGUAGCACAUUCUAUUUUCUACUACUUCUAUGAGUUGAUAAACAAACUGAAAGGAUGCGUACUGCCACGUUGAAUGUGCUGUUUGAACGGGUAUAAAGCCAAGGUUGACUAUUUACUGCCUCCUGCAGUUACAGAAUAUUUGCUCACGAGUAUAAUUCAUUGGCUGAUCCCUCCUGGAAUUAUGUGAUCCUUCCUUAACCCAUAGAAAGUCCCACCCAGUUGAGUACUUCAAAAUGGUGAAAGUCCUCAAUGGCACUCCAUAUGCUAAAACGGGCUUUUGGUCACUUGAGUCCUCUAUCUCUAUGGUGCAGCCUGACUUACAACACCAGGAAAUGUGUUGAAUUGUCAACAUUAUUGAGUGGUUCACUAUAUGAGUCUGAUGAGUUAACAUGGAGCUGCUUGUGUUAUAGUUACUGUUCUAAAGCUGUUUCGAUUUCCUCCUGCAGGUGUGCUGUGAUCUCUUCUAUUCCAGCUGGCUUCUCCAGCACCUUCCAGUGUAACGGAAUGGAGGGUCGAUACGUCAACGUGGUCCUUCCAGGAAGAAGUGAAUACCUGACCGUGUGUGGGGUGGAGGUCUAUGGGUCACCACUGGACUGAUAGAUCCAGAGCAUUUAUUACCAAAAUGUAAUCUGGAGCACACACUGUUUUCUGGACGUGAUAGAUAACUUAUAUUAAUUAUUUUUUUUAACUAGGCAAGUCAGUUAAGAACAAAUUCAUAUUUACAAUUUGACCUACUGGGGAACAGUGGGUUAACUGCCUUGUUCAGGGGCAGAAUGACACAUUUUUAGCUUGUCAGCUAUGGGAUAUGAUCCAGCAACCUUUUAGUUACUGACACAACGCUCUAACCACUAGGCUACCUGCCACCCUAAAUUAUAUUGUAGGUAACAUUCUCCACACUCUUAGAAAAAAGGGUGUCCUUCAGCUGUCCCCAUAGGAGAACCCUUUUAAGUUCCUGGUAGAAC